rnacentral:rRNA from 1 species
AUUUCCUGGUUUCCAAGCUUUAAUGGAACCACACCAAUCCAUCCCGAACUUGGUUGUGACACAUUAAAGGGGCGACAAUACUAAAGCCGGGGGGCUUUGGGAAAAUAGCUUGAUGCUGGGAAAU